AUGACCUCCCAGCCGCAGUUUCGCAAACCAACAGCAGCACUCUACAGAGCGCAACGCAUGACCAUCUGCUCUGCUCUUGGUAGUCUCACACGCUGUACCAGGGAGAAAAGCUAUUGCACAACACAAGGAGCAGCAAGAUGUUUGUUUGUUUUUCCAGGUGAUAAUUUUGGCCUCGCAGUUACCAUAAACAUGACGAAUGGGUCUGCUGUGGAUUUAACACAAUUUUGUGGUGGUACUGCUGGUCCAUGGUCAGAAAACGGACUUCAAGGGAUUUUAGCAGUCAGUAAAUGGUUCACAGACACCCCUUUCCUAUGAUUGCUUGCGUUCUCAAAAGAAAACAAAUAAUAAUAACAAAAAGACAAAGGCCAUUUCGAUUCUCGAGAUGGAGAAAAUCAGCCAAGCUCACCACAAGCUUUGUUCACUUACAUUUCAUGAAAACGUAGGUGGGGAGAGUUUAUUUUAGCUUAUUUUAGGGGGGAAAAGGUUCCUGUGACAAAGUGAUGGGUUAUUUUGCCUAGCUGGUAGAGCCAAGCAGGUGCACAAGACUUUGGUUAUCAGUCUGGGGAAACAGAAGAUGAGGUCCCUGCUCUGCUGCAGUCACCUGAGGUGAGAAUGAGGAAGGCAGGUGGGAUCCAUCUGAAGAGGUGUUCAUUAAGCACUGAGCCAGCAUUCUCCAUUGCAAAAGAGAAAUUACACCUCUCUGCCUUAUGGGGUAACAAGACAGAAUGGGAAUGAGCUUUGCUCUUGAGCUCAGACUUUGGAAGCAUACUUCUGCUUUCAGCACGCAGGAGGGGAAAACAUAACCUGAGAGAUGCUAUGGGAGAAGUUGAUGGCAUUUCAUCUGGACUGGACUAUAUAUCUUAUAAAGCACCAGUGGAUCUUGUUUAGCAUGUAGGUGUAAGGGUAAAAACACAAAAAGCCAACAUGAAUGAGUAAAACAGAAGUCUGUGACUAAACAGGUUGGUCAAAUUGGAAAACUGGUAUUUCUUUUGAAAUUCUAGUGCUGUAGCAUUAAGGAUUUAAUUCUUUUCCAGCAAUAACUGUGCAACUGAAAAACCUCUCCCACAAUACAUUAGCAAAGAGUGGUAAAUAUGAUGGUGAAAGCUACAGGGGUGGAGGGAGGAGGAAGGGAGAUAUUAAGACACUGGUGUGUAAAAAUGUAAUGUAGAUAGGUUCACUAACUCGAAGCAAAGAAAAACACAGAAGUGAAGACUUUUCUGCAAAUCUAAAGCAUGGCCUCAACCACAUCAGUCAAGCACCUGGAGAGUCCUACCUGCUAUUCCCACCCUGACUGCAGCCAACUCUGAGGUCUCAAUGACCAAUUUUCAAUUGAAUUCAUUCUGGGAAGAGAACCAUCCCAUGGGCUUGAGCCUGUCACAUAUCAGAUCUUCAGAAGAGCUUGUUUCUGAGACCAAGAUUAUCUGGGUCCUGAUAGCCUGAGUGGUUUCCAGGUCAGCUUUCCAAGGAUUACUUCGCUUCCUAUUUGACAGUUAUUUUCCAACUUGAAUGCUGCUUUCAGAAUCUCCAUAUUGGGUUUAUUUUUUUCUUGCUUCUGAUAAUUAUCCCCAAACCUGACAUGUCCAUACAGAACCUGUCCCAUCCCUCCUCCCCCUCCCCCCCCAAAAAAAGUUGUUUCAAUAUACAGUUAAGAAUAAAUGUUAUCUUUCCUAAGCUGUUGUGGAAGAA
ensembl:lncRNA